UGGCCCAGUGGCUCAGUUGGUUAGAGCGCCGCCCUGUCACGGCGGAGGUCACGGGUUCGAGUCCCGUCUGGGUCGU
rnacentral:tRNA from 2 species